rnacentral:lncRNA from 1 species
CUAGAAGGCUCAACAUAAAGCUAGGUGGGAAGGCAUGGGAAACCAUCACCAUAGCAAACAAGAGGAUUAACUAACACUAUAUUAGGAUGCAGGGGAGUCGAGAAGAGGCAUCCGAGCCAACUCAUUCCAUAAGUAUCAUAUCUGGAACAUGGAAGCAGAUGUCUUACAAGGGAACCUGGAGCUUCGAGGAUUGUGUACCAGAGUCUGGGAAAAACUGAAAGCUACUGUUUGGCAAAAGGCAGAGGUCCUGGAUACAGAAAACAGUCAGAUAUGGUUUGCCCCUCAGGAAGACUCAGCACAACGAAGAAAGACAAAGAAACACGGUAUCAAUUAAAGAAGCAGCCAAAGAAUGCCGCCAGGUGGCAGUGUCUGAGACCACUGGGAUUCCCUUCCUGCAGCAAGAGCGAUAAUGGAAAAACACCACUAUGUUAAAGCUCAGCUAGAACGUGACAACCGGCUUCCGAAGCGCAAACA